UAGCAUAUCAAUAAGCGGAGGAAAAGAAACCAACAGGGAUUGCCCCAGUAACGGCGAGUGAAGCGGCAACAGCUCAAAUUUGAAAUCUGGCUUCGGCCCGAGUUGUAAUUUGCAGAGGAAGCUUUAGGCGCGGCACCAACUGAGUCCCCUGGAACGGGGCGCCACAGAGGGUGAGAGCCCCGUAUAGUUGGACGCCUAGCCUGUGUAAAGCUCCUUCGACGAGUCGAGUAGUUUGGGAAUGCUGCUCAAAAUGGGAGGUAAAUUUCUUCUAAAGCUAAAUACCGGCCAGAGACCGAUAGCGCACAAGUAGAGUGAUCGAAAGAUGAAAAGCACUUUGAAAAGAGGGUUAAAUAGCACGUGAAAUUGUUGAAAGGGAAGCGCUUGUGACCAGACUUGCGCCCGGCUGAUCAUCCGGUGUUCUCACCGGUGCACUCUGCCGGGCUCAGGCCAGCAUCGGUUCUCGCGGGGGGAUAAAGGUCCUGGGAACGUAGCUCCUCCGGGAGUGUUAUAGCCCAGGGCGUCAUGCCCUCGCGGGGACCGAGGUUCGCGCAUCUGCAAGGAUGCUGGCGUAAUGGUCAUCAGCGACCCGUCUUGAAACACGGACCAAGGAGUCAAGGUUUUGCGCGAGUGUUUGGGUGUAAAACCCGCACGCGUAAUGAAAGUGAACGUAGGUGAGAGCUUCGGCGCAUCAUCGACCGAUCCUGAUGUUUUCGGAUGGAUUUGAGUAGGAGCGUUAAGCCUUGGACCCGAAAGAUGGUGAACUAUGCUUGGAUAGGGUGAAGCCAGAGGAAACUCUGGUGGAGGCUCGCAGCGGUUCUGACGUGCAAAUCGAUCGUCAAAUCUGAGCAUGGGGGCGAAAGACUAAUCGAACCAUCUAGUAGCUGGUUACCGCCGAAU
rnacentral:rRNA from 1 species